UACAGAGGUCCCAAGCGUUGUUCGGAUUCACUGGGCGUAAAGGGUGCGCAGGUGGGUUUGCAAGUUCGAUGUGAAAGCCCCGGGCUUAACCCGGGAAUGGCAUUGGAUACUGCAGAUCUGGAGGAUCGGAGGGGGGACUGGAAUUCUUGGUGUAGCAGUGAAAUGCGUAGAUAUCAAGAGGAACACCAGUGGCGAAGGCGAGUCCCUGGACGAUACCUGACACUGAGGCACGAAAGCUAGGGGAGCAAACAGGA
rnacentral:rRNA from 1 species